rnacentral:rRNA from 1 species
GGGAUAGCCGCCCGAAAGGACGGGUAAUACCGGAUACCCCGGGGUGCCGCAUGGCACCCCGGCUAAAGCCCCGACGGGAGGGGAUGGCUCCGCGGCCCAUCAGGUAGACGGCGGGGUGACGGCCCACCGUGCCGACAACGGGUAGCCGGGUUGAGAGACCGACCGGCCAGAUUGGGACUGAGACACGGCCCAGACUCCUACGGGAGGCAGCAGUGGGGAAUCUUGCGCAAUGGGGGGAACCCUGACGCAGCGACGCCGCGUGCGGGACGGAGGCCUUCGGGUCGUAAACCGCUUUCAGCAGGGAAGAGUCAAGACUGUACCUGCAGAAGAAGCCCCGGCUAACUACGUGCCAGCAGCCGCGGUAAUACGUAGGGGGCGAGCGUUAUCCGGAUUCAUUGGGCGUAAAGCGCGCGUAGGCGGCCCGGCAGGCCGGGGGUCGAAGCGGGGGGCUCAACCCCCCGAAGCCCCCGGAACCUCCGCGGCUUGGGUCCGGUAGGGGAGGGUGGAACACCCGGUGUAGCGGUGGAAUGCGCAGAUAUCGGGCGGAACACCGGUGGCGAAGGCGGCCCUCUGGGCCGAGACCGACGCUGAGGCGCGAAAGCUGGGGGAGCGAACAGGAUUAGAUACCCUGGUAGUCCCAGCCGUAAACGAUAAACGCUAGGUGUGGGGGGACGAUCCCCCCGUGCCGCAG